UUGCCGACGGGAGGCAGCAGUGGGGAAUAUUGCACAAUGGGGGGAACCCUGAUGCAGCGACGCCGCGUGAGUGAAGAAGUAUCUCGGUACGUAAAGCUCUAUCAGCAGGGAAGAAAAUGACGGUACCUGACUAAGAAGCCCCGGCUAACUACGUGCCAGCAGCCGCGGUAAUACGUAGAGGGCAAGCGUUAUCCGGAUUUACUGGGUGUAAAGGGAGCGUAGACGGCACUGCAAGUCCGGAGUGAAAGCCCACAGCCCAACU
rnacentral:rRNA from 1 species